rnacentral:rRNA from 1 species
AUUGAACGCUGGCGGCAGGCCUAACACAUGCAAGUCGAACGGUAACAGGAAACAGCUUGCUGUUUCGCUGACGAGUGGCGGACGGGUGAGUAAUGUCUGGGAAACUGCCUGAUGGAGGGGGAUAACUACUGGAAACGGUAGCUAAUACCGCAUAACGUCGCAAGCCCAAAGAGGGGGACCUUCGGGCCUCUUGCCAUCGGAUGUGCCCAGAUGGGAUUAGCUAGUAGGUGGGGUAACGGCUCACCUAGGCGACGAUCCCUAGCUGGUCUGAGAGGAUGACCAGCCACACUGGAACUGAGACACGGUCCAGACUCCUACGGGAGGCAGCAGUGGGGAAUAUUGCACAAUGGGCGCAAGCCUGAUGCAGCCAUGCCGCGUGUAUGAAGAAGGCCUUCGGGUUGUAAAGUACUUUCAGCGGGGAGGAAGGGAGUAAAGUUAAUACCUUUGCUCAUUGACGCUACCCGCAGAAGAAGCACCGGCUAACUCCGUG